GAAGCUCUGUUGACAGCUUUAACUGACUAACGGGCCAUCCUGAUCUGAUUAUGCUGCAGAGGCGUUGAAGAACUGGGUCCUGUGCAGUGUGGGUUUGCAGCUCUUUCAGUCUGGAGGAGGAGAUGUGCUGCACUGACAUGAUUUCAAAGUCAGCUGUGUCAUCUUGGUGUUCAUCUGGAGGGGCUCUAGGUGAGCGUGACAACAUGUCAGCAAGGGUCAACAUGAUGUUGAGAGCCGGUUCAGACACUGGAGUAAGGACACCCAUAACGACCAUCCUUUCCAACUCUGCUUUUACCUUGGGUUGCAUUGCUGCAGGGAUUCUGCGUGCCGGACGAAUGACAGACUGACCUGGUGCACUGCUUUGCUGAGGGAAAUAAGGCCCAUUCGAAGGCAGUCGGGAAGCCCAAGCAAUGGCUGUAUAUCUUUCUGUACCAUGUAGAAAUGUAGAUCGUAAAUUUGAUCAUUUAGGUGGCAAGUGAACCCAAUUGAACCUGCAGUUGGAAUUUCUUCUCCUCCAUAAGCAACAAGCUUCACAUGGUUCGACGCCUGGAGAUUUAUGUCUUGAUUUAUCUGUGUACAUGUCUGCAGGGACAUAAUGUUGCAUGAAGCUCCCGUGUCAAUCUUCAGCUCAGUUGGCUUUCCAUUGAUUUGAAUGGUGCAUGAUGAGUGUUGUAGGUCAAUUUUAACAACAUUUUUUUGAUUCAAAGCAACUCCAUCAAUGAAGAAUGAGUCUUCACUGCUAUUUGAAGCUUUGGUGACAUCAAUUUGAUUGACGUUUUUUUUUAGGUUUUGGGUACGAACUUUUGCAGAUUUGCAGCAUUUCUGAAAGUGGUUCCAUUUAUUGCACUUGUGACACUGCUGGCCAUAUCAGAAUCAGAAUCAGAAUCAGAAGAGCUUUAUUGCCAAGUGUGCUUGCACACACAAGGAAUUUUCUUUGGUGUUGGAAGCUUCUAGUACAGACAUUCAACACAAUGACAAUACAAUAUAAUACGAUUUACAGUCUAAAAGAUUCUAAAUUGUGCAUAUAUAAAAUAAAGACUAUUUUACAGAAAAUGGGGGAUAAUAACAUAUAAGAGACAUUGUACAGGGUAGUAUAUAGUAGAAUAAACAUAUUGUAUGUACACUUGUGCAAAUGGAUAAUUUAGUAAGUAGAGGUAG